GCACACUUGCACACUACCGCUGUAUCGAUGCAUGGACGUUCGAUAUUCAUCCACGUCAUCACAAGUAAACAGUAAAAUUUUUACUCAUGAUGAUGUGGAUGAAUCUCGGACGUCCAUUUUUCGAUCCAACGGCAGUUUGCAAGUUUGC
rnacentral:pre_miRNA from 1 species